rnacentral:rRNA from 1 species
GACGGAGGGUGCGAGCGUUGUUCGGAUUGACUGGGCGUAAAGGGCGUGUAGGCGGUUGGUCAAGUCUGAUGUGAAAGCCCGGAGCUCAGCUCCGGAAGUGCAUCGGAAACUAGCUGGCUGGAGCGCGAUAGAGGAGGGUGGAAUUCCUGGUGUAGCGGUGAAAUGCGUAGAUAUCAGGAGGAACACCGGCGGCGAAGGCGGCCCUCUGGAUCGUUGCUGACGCUGAGACGCGAAAGCGUGGGGAGCAAACAGG